CAGUGUUACAGCUCUUUUAAAAUUUGUCCAGCAGGUCUCCUGGUCGCCACCGGAAGGCACCCUU